rnacentral:rRNA from 1 species
GAUGAACGCUGGCGGCGUGCUUAACACAUGCAAGUCGAACGGUGAACGAGGGAGCUUGCUCCCUCCGGAUCAGUGGCGAACGGGUGAGUAACACGUGAGCAAUCUGCCCUGGACUCUGGGAUAAGCGUUGGAAACGACGUCUAAUACCGGAUACGAGGCGUGGGGGCAUCCCCAACGCCUGGAAAGAACUUCGGUCCAGGAUGAGCUCGCGGCCUAUCAGCUAGUUGGUGAGGUAACGGCUCACCAAGGCGACGACGGGUAGCCGGCCUGAGAGGGUGACCGGCCACACUGGGACUGAGACACGGCCCAGGCUCCUACGGGAGGCAGCAGUGGGGAAUAUUGCACAAUGGGCGCAAGCCUGAUGCAGCAACGCCGCGUGAGGGACGACGGCCUUCGGGUUGUAAACCUCUUUUAGCAGGGAAGAAGGUUCAGGCGCGAAUAGCGUCCUGGACUGACGGUACCUCCAGAAGAAGCCCCGGCUAACUAC